UAAGCUGGAUUUUUCUGUAGGGUCGUGACGCAGUUGUGCUGAAAUCUGUAAUCAGAGUCGCUGUACAGUGAAUUAAAGUUCUCCAAUGAACAUGUUUGCUCAAUCUUAGCAUUAAAACAUCAUUUACUGCGCCACUCGACGAGGAUCGCUUGAUUUUCGAUCGUUUGUUCACGAUCGCGUGCAAGUGCGACCAAGGCGUUCCCGAGUUAAUAUUUUACUGAACAGCGCCCCCUGGCCACAGUUUUCGGCACAUCACCGCCCUUCAUAAACGAAAGUGAAAGGGCUUCAUUGUUGUGUCGCCAUUUUAAACAGAGAGAAUCCAGCAUUUACAACGCAGAACAACUUUAAAUCUUUAAUGUCUUCACAAAACAUCUGCUGAUCUAUUCCUGCUGAAAUCAGCUCAAUGAUGAAGGCUGAUCAAUGACUGCACAUCUGUGAUUGUUUCUCAGUGUCUGCUAUAGUUUCUACUGGACAUCACACUCUACACAUCCAUCAUGGAGGACACACACACUUCUGGAGAUCAGGAUUUGUCUACAGGACACAGAUCAUAUAAGAGGAGGAGAGCAGAAGCAGAGCCCAGCUGUGUGUCUCUGAGGAGUGACGCGUCUAAUGAGCACCCAAGAACUAAUUUUAGGAGUGAACACACACCACCUGCUGUCCUCAGUUCAGUUCAUCAGAAGAGAGCAGAAGCAGAGCCCAGCUGUGUGUCUAU